rnacentral:rRNA from 1 species
CCUACGGGUGGCAGCAGUGAGGAAUAUUGGUCAAUGGGAGAGAUCCUGAACCAGCCAAGCCGCGUGAGGGAAGACGGCCCUAUGGGUUGUAAACCUCUUUUGUCGGAGAACAAAACCCGGGACGUGUCCCGGACUGCGUGUAUCCGAAGAAAAAGCAUCGGCUAACCCCUGGCCAGCAGACGCGGUAAUACGGGGGAUGCGAGCGGUGUCCGGAUUUAUUGUGGUAAACGGGAGCGUAGGCGGGCGUUCAAGUCAGAUGUAAAAUCGCGCGGCUCAACCGCGCCCCGCAGUUGAAACUGGAAGCCUUGAGUUCACAACAGGCAGGCGGAAGUCGUGGUGUAGCGGUGAAAUGCAUAGAUAUCACGAGGAACCCCGAUUGCGAAGGCAGCCUGCCGGGGUGCGACUGACGCUGAGGCUCGAAGGUGCGGGUAUCAAACAGGAUUAGAUACCCUAGUAGUC